rnacentral:lncRNA from 1 species
CUCCAUGGCUCAGCAAAGCAUUAGGAGAUCCUCUGAGGAGCACUAUAAAUGCUGAAACCAGAUUCAGAAUGAAGGUCUACCUGCUCUCAGAGAUAGUCUUGCAUCUGCUUUGUCCAGCCACGAGCAAGCUGCACCCUGGAAGCCACAGAGAUGAGAGAUGGGGCCGCUCACACCAGUGGAGCAGGAGGGGAAGAAAAUGCUUCUGUGGGUGAAGCUCAGCCCAGUCCUGUUGGCAUCAAGCGGACGUGUUUGUUAUAGCUGGCAGAGAGGUCCCAGCUUCAGACAGCCGUCUGCCAUCCGCUUUGGCCAGACACCGAGACGCUAGCAAUUGGCUGGUGUUACUGUCAUGAGCAAAGGUAUGGCACUGUGAGUUGUCUGAGCCUUGUCAGGCUUUUCCCGCAGUGAUUCUGAAUGGUGUGAAAGAGGUUGGGAAUCGGAGAAUGGCUCUCUGGCUGAUCGGCCUGCUGCCAGAGGAGGAUUUGUCCAUGAUAGUCUCACUUGCUUUCGGGGUGUGGCCUGAAAGGGAAGGUUUGAGACAAUAUUUGUUGGGAUUUUUCCACUCUUUGUUGUGAAACCUUUGGUUUUCUCAUGCCUUGAUUUUUGGAGUAUAUGCCUUAAAAAGCAAUAUGACAAAUGCCUAGCUCCAGGUAACGCUUUGCACCUAGAAAGAAUGCUGGGUUUUCUGGACUCAAAUAAUGGGGAGGCUGUGAUGCCGUUCGCCCAAUGUCAGGCAGCAGUCUGAAAGCAGGGCUCGGAGCAGGAGCUGACUGCCAAAUCCCUGCCCCUUCCAUGGGCUCCACCAUCCCUUCCAUCCUUUCCUAGUUUUGUUUCUCCUUGCUUUCCUCAAGAAAAAUGAAAGGUGAAAAUUAAAUAGAGAUUAUGAAUUCCAGCAUCUGUGUUAGGGGAAUCUGUAGCUAAAUGAAAGGUGACCGAACUAGGUCCAGUACUGGCUGUUGAUUCUUAAGGACCUCUUACUGCAGAGUGAACUGCUUCAGAAAUCAGCCUGAGGGCUGGUAACCCACAGCUCUGAGUGAGAACAAGGGUCACCACUCCUGAUCUGAGAUUUAAUCAGUUGGGUUUCAGUUAUCAAAAAACAAAGCUCAUAAAGGAAGCCUGAAGUUUUUAUGUCUUGCACUACUCCAGUGAAAGCUGCGCUCAAGAUCAGGGAAGACAGAAAUUAUAAAUGGGAAUGAGAUCUCAGUGAUACCCUUUUUGAAGCCUCUGGAUGAUCAUAUAAUGCACAAACCAAAGCCCUGAGUGGUUUAUUUUGAUGUGUGGAUCCAUGCCGUUACCAGUGAAAUGAAGUCCGUGCGUCCUGCCCGGCGGUGUGUUUGUGCAAUCGGUAUGAAGGGGCUGAUCUAGCAAGGCUUGCAUGAGAAUUUUUCUUUCCCAUAUGUGCUCUCAGGAGGUGUUAAUGCUGUGCUGAGGAGCUCUGCUCAUGGGCUAGGACUAUUGUGUGAAAUGUGAUACUGUCACGUCGUGGAGAAAAUGCUGUCACCCCCAUCCUCAGGAUGGACAUGUCUGCUACAGGUGAACUCGUGAUUGUUAGGGCUUCCAGACAGCUAGCGGGGGGCAGCAGCAGCUCCCUGGGAUGCCUCAGCCCCAGCAGGCUGGUCCAGCACACAAUGAGCCUCAUGCUCGUGACAACAUCUGAACUUUUCUAAGUUAAAGCCAGCAGAAGUGGCUUUGCAUUCAGACCUUCAGUUUCCACGUUGACGUGCCGUUAUGCCAUGAGGCAGCCCAGGAAGAACACUUGGACGUAGUAGGCAAUGGGGUUCAUGCACUGUUACUUCAGUGGAGAGGUCACGAGCCAGUGUCUGCAGCUACAAAGGGCCAAACUGAAAGCUUCUCAUUAGUAAGAAGCAAAAGGGGGUGAAAUGGGCUUUGCCCACGUUUAUUAAACUUGGUGUUUUAAACCACCACUUCCUGUCCCGGUCAGCAAAACCCAACCCCUGCUGUUAGAAAUUACUGCUCUGAUUCUGGGUGGGUUCACAGCCCUGCUCCCUCUCACAGGCCGGGCUGGCACCUUUCACCUCUGGAGAAGGUUUGAACAACUGAAUCCAGCUGAAACCGAGCAUCCAGCUGAAACCCCAUGUCCCAGCUAGAAGCAAAACACGCCUUUAAAUCAGCUAUGGAGCACAUUUCCCAAAUGCUCUGCUAUCUCCGGUCCCCUCUACUUUGUCUGUGAAACUAUUACUUUGCAUAAUAGAAGGGAGAGACGCUCUGACCAUCUGGUAGGCAACGCCAUGUAUAAUUUAGGUUGCUUCACUCACUCUCCCAUCAACAACAGGAAAGUAGAUUCCUUCUGGUUUCCCUUGAUCUCUUAGCCCUUUGCUACAAAUGCAAGGUCCCAAGCAGCUGCGGGGGAGUAAACUGCAUCCUGCACU